ACCUGCCCAGUGAUCAAACAUGUUGUCAGAUCAGAACCCCGUCGGACCCACGUGGUGCCGGGCAGCUUUCUAUCGUUUCACCGCUGCAUCUGGUAUGGUCUAAUCUCCCCAGAUGUUGCACCUCUGUAACGGCGGAACAUAAAUGAACUGCGAGCCCGUCCGGGCAAAGGGGCCCUGGAGCAGAAACGCGCGGAUUCCCGAUCCAACUUCCUUCUGAAUGUGACGGACUGAAUCCCUUUGAUUCCAACACCAGUGAGACACUGUUGCCAUGACACCCAAUGCCCGUAAGUGAUGCAAGUGUUCCAGGUGCAGAGAGAAAGUGGACAAUCAGUCAAAUUACCUUUAUGAGCUGUCCCC
ensembl:lncRNA